AGGAAACCAAAGCCUAAUCGGCGCCCGCGAGGGCGACGAACCGGGGACCCACUCCUUUCGUUGGGGUGAAUCCCACCGGCGACAGCCGGAGGGUAGGGAGAUCUUCCUUUUCUCCCGAACCCGUCAGCUAACCCGGUCGGCACCAAAUGGAAGAGAA
rnacentral:sRNA from 1 species